rnacentral:rRNA from 1 species
UGAGUAACCUGCCCUUAACUCUGGGAUAAGCCUGGGAAACUGGGUCUAAUACCGGAUAUGACUCCUCAUCGCAUGGUGGGGGGUGGAAAGCUUUAUUGUGGUUUUGGAUGGACUCGCGGCCUAUCAGCUUGUUGGUGAGGUAAUGGCUCACCAAGGCGACGACGGGUAGCCGGCCUGAGAGGGUNAUCGGCCACACUGGGACUGAGACACGGCCCAGACUCCGUACGGGAGGCAG